UACCAUGCAAGUCGAACGGUGAAGCCAAGCUUGCUUGGUGGAUCAGUGGCGAACGGGUGAGUAACACGUGAGCAACCUGCCCUGGACUCUGGGAUAAGCGCUGGAAACGGCGUCUAAUACUGGAUAUGAGACGUGAUCGCAUGGUCGUGUUUGGAAAGAUUUUUCGGUCUGGGAUGGGCUCGCGGCCUAUCAGCUUGUUGGUGAGGUAAUGGCUCACCAAGGCGUCGACGGGUAGCCGGCCUGAGAGGGUGACCGGCCACACUGGGACUGAGACACGGCCCAGACUCCUACGGGAGGCAGCAGUGGGGAAUAUUGCACAAUGGGCGGAAGCCUGAUGCAGCAACGCCGCGUGAGGGAUGACGGCCUUCGGGUUGUAAACCUCUUUUAGCAGGGAAGAAGCGAAAGUGACGGUACCUGCAGAAAAAGCGCCGGCUAACUACGUGCCAGCAGCCGCGGUAAUACGUAGGGCGCAAGCGUUAUCCGGAAUUAUUGGGCGUAAAGAGCUCGUAGGCGGUUUGUCGCGUCUGCUGUGAAAUCCCGAGGCUCAACCUCGGGCCUGCAGUGGGUACGGGCAGACUAGAGUGCGGUAGGGGAGAUUGGAAUUCCUGGUGUAGCGGUGGAAUGCGCAGAUAUCAGGAGGAACACCGAUGGCGAAGGCAGAUCUCUGGGCCGUAACUGACGCUGAGGAGCGAAAGGGUGGGGAGCAAACAGGCUUAGAUACCCUGGUAGUCCACCCCGUAAACGUUGGGAACUAGUUGUGGGGACCAUUCCACGGUUUCCGUGACGCAGCUAACGCAUUAAGUUCCCCGCCUGGGGAGUACGGCCGCAAGGCUAAAACUCAAAGGAAUUGACGGGGACCCGCACAAGCGGCGGAGCAUGCGGAUUAAUUCGAUGCAACGCGAAGAACCUUACCAAGGCUUGACAUAUACGAGAACGGGCCAGAAAUGGUCAACUCUUUGGACACUCGUAAACAGGUGGUGCAUGGUUGUCGUCAGCUCGUGUCGUGAGAUGUUGGGUUAAGUCCCGCAACGAGCGCAACCCUCGUUCUAUGUUGCCAGCACGUAAUGGUGGGAACUCAUGGGAUACUGCCGGGGUCAACUCGGAGGAAGGUGGGGAUGACGUCAAAUCAUCAUGCCCCUUAUGUCUUGGGCUUCACGCAUGCUACAAUGGCCGGUACAAAGGGCUGCAAUACCGUAAGGUGGAGCGAAUCCCAAAAAGCCGGUCCCAGUUCGGAUUGAGGUCUGCAACUCGACCUCAUGAAGUCGGAGUCGCUAGUAAUCGCAGAUCAGCAACGCUGCGGUGAAUACGUUCCCGGGUCUUGUACACACCGCCCGUCAAGUCAUGAAAGUCGGUAACACCUGAAGCCGGUGGCCCAACCCUUGUGGAGGAGCCGUCGA
rnacentral:rRNA from 1 species